UACGUAGGGUGCGAGCGUUGUUCGGAAUCACUGGGGGUAAAGGGCGCGCAGGCGGUUAUGUAAGUCUAAAGUGAAAUCCUUAGGCUUAACUUAAGGGCUGCAUCUGAAACUUCAUGACUCGAGUACGGGAAAAGCAAGCGGAAUUCCUGGUGAAGAGGUGAAAUCCGUAGAUAUCAGGAAGAACACCAGUGGCGAAAGCGGCUUGCUAGACCGAUACUGACGCUCAGGCGUGAAAGCGUGGGGAGCAAACAGG
rnacentral:rRNA from 1 species